AUUGUAAGUAAAUAUUUACCAAAAGCAAAUUGUAUGCAAACUAAAAGCUGAUCAUGAAAUUUAUUUCAGAAUAAGAAGCAGUGUGACUCAAAUUGUAAAGGUCUUGAAACAGAAGCACAACUCUUGAUACCAGAUGAUCAACAUUUCGUGCAAAUAGCAAGAACAAUAGGUAUUGGAGACUUCUACAACUUCUUCAUUGAACUUGGAAUGGAAAAAGCCGAUUACGACAACUUAAAUUUUCGUUAUUUCUCAAAUCCUAUGGAUUUUAUGUUGAUGGGACUGUUUGAAUGGCGGGAUAAAACAGAAAGUGACCAAUUGACUGCAACGUUUGGAAAACUCCAGAAGGCACUGACAGCUAUUGAAAGACAACACUAUCUGUGUCAGAUACACAGAGAGGAUCAUACUUUAGUGGAAAUAGCUCAUAGCCGCCUACAAGAUGUUCCGUCAGAUGACGUAAUUGAUGCUUUGACAGAAAAAAACCUGAUUGGUGAUUGCGUUGUUCACUUAGGAAUUGAAUUAUGUCUAAGCAUCGGGAACAUUAGGAAGACUUUGUACAAUUUUCCUAGGGAUUUGAAUGGUCAAGUUCAUGAUCUUCUCACCAAAUGGAAAAAUUGCAAUGAAACCAAGAUGGUAAAACCAACAAUCUACAGACUUAUGGUAGCUUUAAAACAUAUUAAAGCAGCUAAAGGACUAAGUUUUGUGAAGAAAACAUAUGGUGUCGAGUAAGACUUUAUAUAUUGUAUAAUGUGUAAAAGUAUAUUACAAUACAUAUAGUAGGUUUAAUUCUAGUAAACAAAAAUGACGUAUACUGCCUAGUUUUUUAAAAUUAAAAAAUGUAUGUUCUGCUGCCCUUUUUGAAUAAUCAAGGUAAACAGAUGAUGCAAUUUUUUUUCUUUUAGUAUUGUGGUUGAGAAAAUUGAUAUUAUAAAUUAUUAACAAAAACAACGUAUCCUUAUGGCUUUAUUUGAUUUAUUUGUCUAAUAAACAAUGAGGUUUUUUUUCAGCAAGAGGUUUUCUGCAGUCAUACUAAUCCAAAUUUUCUGGAGCCAAAACAGGCUAUCAUUUCACCUAUGUAAAUAAUUACUUCAUUUAACCAAAAAUUUAAAAUGUUUCUAAAAAGGAAUCAACCUCAUAUUCUUAUUACGCUUGAAGUUUUGUUUUUGUCAUCAACAUAAUUAUCAUUCUAAAUAUCAUUCCUAAACUGCAUGAAAUAAUACUUCCUUUAGUUCUAGUCCUUGUUAGAACACCUGGCAGAAUACUAAUACAGCUUUUCUCAUCACGAUUUGUCUGUCGUCCUUCACCGUCGUCGUCUAUUUACUUUCACAAAAGUCUUCUCCUCUGAAACCACUGGGCAAAAUUUAACCAAACUUUAAAAAAAAAAUGGAAUUAUCAUUUGGAUAUAUAGUUUUUACAAUAUCUCUGAUGACCCAUCUACCAACUUUGGUGGUCAACAUGACUAGAAAUAGAAAAUAAUGCAAGUUGUUUGUAUUAUUUUUGAAAACUGCCAUGAAUAAAGAUAUUUAAAGGGGGGUCCUAUUGGAACAAAAAUUUGAAAUUAAAAAUGUAUUCAAUACAUAGCAUUGAAACCAUAAUUUCACAAUAAACAUAAUAUAACUUCAACACCAUAUUCAUCAACACUUACAUAUGUAUAUCACCUUUAAAAUUGAAAUAAAAAUGCUGAUUUAAAUAAUCUCAAAACUGAAUUGUGACUUAUAUUUUCAAUUUUAUUCAAAAAUGUUUGAAUGUUUCAGAUAUAUUUUAUGAUUACUGGAUAAUUUUCACCAUAAACCUAAGCUUUGUAUAGAUUUAUGGUGUCAGUUGAGUUAAGUUAAUGAUGCAGUGAACAUUUUUUUUGUAUUUAAAAUAUAUAUAAAAUAGCAUAUAAAGCAACAUAAUAAAUUUAAAAAAUGACACCUUUGUUUUGUUAAACUAGGAAUUUAAUAUAAUCAUGAUAAUAGAACUUCCAUAGCAAUCCUUAAUAAGAAAAUGUGUCUCAAAGUUACUGUAAACAAUUUAUUUCAAUUGAUGGUAUACCGCCAUCUUGGAUUGAACAAUCACAGUACAAAUUCGGUCUAGUUAUUUGCCUAAAUUUGCAAAUUUGGAGACAGAUUUGCAAUUCAAGUGUUAGACUGUUUUUUUUCUAUUUGAAGAAAACUUGCUAAUUUAUCGUAUGAUACAAAAUAUUUUAACAAAUAUCAUUUAUUAAGGUCUUAAAAUCAUUUUAUUCAAAUGAGCCAUUUAAGGGGAGAUAACUCUUUUAGUACAAAAUUUAUACUUGGCUAAUAGGGAUUUUUUUUAUUUUUACUUGUAGCAAGAAAACAAGUUCGGUGACACCAUGUUUUCUUUUUAUUUUCUUAAAACAUAUUAUGAAACCUUUCUUCUCACAAUUUAUUUCAAAAUUCUAUCUCAUUGAAUUUUUUUAUGCACACUAAUGUGUUUUUUCAUGAACAAAGUAACCAAAUUUUGGCAAUUUUUAACAACUCAUAGUUUGAAAUAGCACGGUGACCCAUACUUUUUAUUUAAUUUUUGAAAAGAGCAUAGUGAAAUCUUCAUUUUGGCAAAUUAUAAAAAAAUUCUGUCUCAAAAAAUAUAUACUGGUGAUCUACCUUAAAUUUAAAUAAUGUUGGUCAAAAAUUAAAGACAUGACAUACAAGAAACACUCGAAUAAGGUUUAAUUACCUCAGCACACGUUAGUUUUUUCAGGUAAAAAGAAAGCCUUUAUUAGCUCACCUGGCCGCCAUGGCUAAAAAUAGAACAUAGGAGUAAAAUGCAGUUUUUGGCUUAUAAACUAAAAACCAAAGCAUUUAGAGAAAAUAUGACAUCAGUUAAAAUUGUUUAUCAGGUCAAAAUCUAUCUGCACUGAAAUUUUCAGAUGAAUCAGACAACCCAUUGUUGGGUUGCUGCCCCUUAAUUGGUAAUUUUACGGAAAUUUUACUGUUUUUGGUUAUUAUCUUGAAUAGUAUUAUAGAUGGAGAUUAACUGUAAACAGCAAUAAUGUUCAGCAAAGUAAGAUUUACAAAUAAGUCAACAUCACCAAAAUGUUCAGUUGACCUCUUUAGGAGAUAUUGCCCUUUAUAUUCAAUUUUUAACCAUUUUUCGUAAAUCUUAGUUAACUUUUACAAAAAUCUUCUCCUCUGAAACUACUUGGCCAAUUUUUACCAAACAUAGCCAGAAUCAUUAUUAGGCUAUCUUGUUUAAAAAUUGUGUUUUGUGACUGGUCAAACCAACCAAGAUGGCCGCUACGGCUAAAAAUAGAACAUAGGGAUAAAAUGCGGUGUUUGGCUUAUAACUCAAAAACCAAAGCAUUUAGAGCAAAUCUGACAAGGAGUAAAAUUGUUUAUCUGGUCAAGAUCUAUCUGCCCUGGGAUGAAUGGGACAACUCAUUGUUAGGUUGCUCCCCCUAAAUGGGUAAUUUUAAGGAAAUGUUGCUGUUUUGGUUAUUAUCUUGAAUAUUAUUAUAAAUAGAUAUAAACUGUAAACAGCAAUAAUGUACAGCAAUUUAAAACCCAAAAAUAAGUCAAAAUGACCAAAAUGGUCAAUUGACCACCUAAAAAGUUAUUGUCCUUUAUAAUAUUUUUUUAACAAUUUUCAUAAAAUUUGUAAAUUUUUACCAACAUUUUCCACUGACACUAAACGGACAAGUUCAUUGUAGAUAGAGAUAAUUGUAAGCAGCAAGAAUGUUCAGUAAAGUAAGAUGUACAAGCACAUCACAAUCACCUAAAAACAAUUUUGUCAUGAACUGUCUGCUUCCUUUGUUUAAUUCACAUAUACCAAGGUGAGCGACACAGGCUCUUAAGAGCCUCUAGUUUUUCUUAACUCGUGUAUUACUUAUCUAGUGAAUUCAAAAGGCCUUGCGAUUUAAGUUAAACAGGAUGUUGCAUCUUUGAAUGAAUGUUAUUUAGAAUUUAAUACUCUCUGGCCAGGUGAUAUUUUUAAUGAGUUUGCCCCAAGCAGGAAGUAUUUAUUUAUAGUUCACCACUAGUCAGAAGAACAAUUUCAUUAAUUUCUUUAAUUUUUUAUCCCUUUUUGAUAUUUAUUAUAUACAAUAUAUCCAAAAUUAUGAUAAUUCAUAUAUUUCUAAUAUAAGGUUAAAAAAUUUCAGUGAUUUUGUUGGCUGUUGUUACCUCAUUAAAAAGAUUACUAUAUAACUAUUGUAUAUAACCAUGAAACCUAUGAAGUUCUAAUUAAGAAAUAUAGCAAAAUUAAGUUUUAAAAAAACACCACACAGGCCAAACAAGAAGCACCUUAACAAAGUUUAAUUACCCUCAGUAUAGGUGUAGUGUUUUAGGUAAAAGAAAACCUCUUUUUAACAAAUAUCUUAAACUUUAAAAUAAAUAAAGUUGAAUUAUUAUAUAAGAUGAUUUGAUUUAACUAUCUCUAUUUGAUAAAUCUAUGAGUCGUGUAAGGAUGUUAAAAUCUGUUUUUGUAUAUAUCUUUAUUUUAUUGUGGCUGUUGUCAUGUUAGUUAAAAAAAAUAUUUUAAUAGUUAGAAUGAAAAAAAAAGUAGAAUUGAGGUUAUUUGGUCAAGUAUGGUUCAGACUGGUCGAGUAUUGUUCAGACCUUUGGUCGAGUAUGGUUUAGACUGAAGAAAUAGGUUGAGUACAGGUCAAGAAUGGGUUUAGACUGUUUCAGAUUUGUCGAGUAACACUUCAGACUAUUUUUAAUGGCAAAGAAAAGGGUCAAGUACAAAUCAGUACAGUUGAGAAUGGUUAAGUCUGGGGUCGAGUAAUAUUGAGUAAAAAUCAGUAUAGUCAAGUACAGAUAUAGGCCAUUUUAGACUUCUACUAGUUGGUAGUGAUUGUUGAUUUGAUAUCUAUACAGUUGUUGAGUCAGUCAAUCCUAACCCAAAUACUUUAUAGUUGGUCGUAUAUAAUAAGAAAGAACCAUAUUGAAUGAGGUCAACCUGUAUUAAGUCAAGAUAAUUAAAGGUUAUAGCGCGUAUAGGAACUUUGAUUAGAUAACGCGCUUCACAUAUAUGGUUAAUAAUAAUAAUAAUUACAACAACAACAAAAUUUUUCUUUUUGCAGAAAUGUGAUUAUUGAAUGUUUAAGCAAAUAGUACAUAAUUAUUGAAUCAAAACCUUACUUUGAUAGGUUUUCAUGUACAAUGAGAGGAACAUCCGUAUCGAUUUUGAGGUUACAAUAUAUUAGGUCAAGUUCAUAUUUGGGCAAAGGAAAUGUUAGCUUCUCAGUAAAUGUUCUUAAAGAUACGCUAGAAACUGUCAUUUGCAUCACCAGAGUUACAGAACAAAGAUUAUGUUAUGAAACUGCAUGUCGAUACUUUAAUUUUAGCAUUGUACAAGUCAGGUAUCCAUUGCCUGUCCAUGGCGUUAAAGCACUUAACCCCUGGAAUGUGUUUUAUUUGAUUUUGGUCUCUGAUGUAUGAUUAUUUAUUGUUAUUUGUGUUUGGCUUUUUACUAGCUUACAGUAACUGUGAGUACUCUGAAAUCGUAUUUUUGUGUAAAGUUGACAAAGUUUGUAAUGCAUUUCUGUAAUUUAAUGUUUACUUAUUGUGUGUUAUAUAUCGUCUUACUAUUGUUAAUUAAUAUAUACAUGUACCACCUUUGAUUCGUAUAUUGAUAAAUUUUCAUUUCUGUACUCGUACUCUGGACAACAAAUGUAUUAAUAUGUAAAAUUCAGUACUCCUUGAUAACAGCAGUCAACAACAUUUUAUAUUUAUAUUUACCUGUGUACGUUGUGUUUUUAACGCCUUUUUAUAUUAAUAUUGUGUCAUAGAUCAAACUUAUUUGUUCAGUCUAACUUUGUAUUCUUGUAGGGGUUGUUUUAAAUGUCUUUUUAUUUGAUUUAUUUCAAUUGAUAUUUCACAGUUUGGUCUUGAUGUUGUAAUUUAAAUCUACUGUCUCAGGAUAGGGUGAAGGUGGGCGCCUAUUGAAACAUGUAGACCCUCUGCAUUUAUAUUCAGGAGGUUCAUCAAAUCUAAAGUCGGUUAAAAAUGAAAUAAGUUUAACGUAACAAUUACACACCAUAGAAACCAAUAUUAGUGUUACGUUCGUAAUUAAUCGAUUCCUAACCCAACCUUGAAAUUCGGUAAUUAUUGUCUAACGUAGCAAUAGCUUUGUUGUUAUUGAUACAUUUUCAACGUAAUUGUAGUAAGAGCCUUCUCUAAAAUUAUGCAAUGACUCCAUAACGUAGAGUUUUAACUAAGUUUUGUGUUCCUACCAAUUACCUAAAAAAAUAUAAUUAAUGGCUUAGUAGAAACUGUAAAAAAAAUAAAAAAAAUGAUCACGAUCACAAUCAAAGGUCUGAAAAAUGCCAAUAUAAUCAAAGCCAUUUGAUGACAACUUCAGGAGUUAUUGCAAUAAUUUAAGUCAAAAUAAACAUUAUUGGUGGAUAUAUCAAAUUUCGAUGAAAUUUUGGAUUCUUUUAAAACUCGUUGAACUGCAUCUGAAUUUAAAAAAAUUGAAACAAAACUAUCAAAAUAAAUAGAUAUAUUUGUUAAAAAAAGAAAAAGAUCUAUAAAUCUAUAGGAUGAACAUAAGAAUAAAAAAAAUUUCAUUUUUAAUUCAGUUUUCUCGAAAAGUCAUCAACAGAAUUUGUAUUGGAAAAGACACGUUAUUGCAAACAUUCCGUUCUAAUAAUGAAUAUUUUGAGGAUCUCAACUAUAGUUUCGAUGUGAAGUGUGGGAAAAUUAGACAAAUUAUUGCUACGUCAUAAAAGCAUUGUGCUGCAAAAAUCAUUUUGUAUACAUCACUCAUAUUUGUGUUUAAAUGAUUUAGACCAAGAAAGCAAAUCCAAUGACCCCUUAUAUUAUCUUAUCAAUUAACCCAAAUGUUAACAUCAAUAUUUUACAAAUUAAGCUGUUUUUUCAAACGUUCUUCACAUUUAUUACCCCAUUUCCCAAUGGAACUAUAAAUGCUACAUGCAUAUUAUUUUUAAUAUUUUAGAUUAAGUUCAGAGAAAUCUGAAUGCAUACAAAAUUUCAUCAAAUAUAAUAUUUAUACACAACCAAUUAAGUGAUGACAAAUUUUUCGUAUUUUUGCCAAUUACUUCAAAAAUGUGUAUAGAAAUUUUAAGGUAGAAGAUGUAAACAGCAAAAUUAAUAAUCACCCAAAUCAACGAAAAAAGACAAAACAUGGAUGACCAAGCAAAUUUAAUCACGCCUGAAGGGAAUAUUGCUCAAAGGGAUUUUUAUUUCAUAGUAUAGUUCUUAUUGUAUUUAUCAUGUA